GUCGAGCUCAGUAACAAGAGUUUGUGACCCAUGUGGGGACAACAAGAUGGUGGAACACUGUCCCGGCCCACCGGUCGGUUCUGUCUGGCAUCUUCUGGACCGCCCAGUCCAAACCGAGAGUGAUCCGUUUGUGUUAGGCGAAGGCUUGACUCAGGCGUUUCCUAAAGAGGGGAGGGCAAUGCGUGAGGCUGGUUUCACAGAGCAGCGAUCACCUCCCUCUCUCGGCAGUGGACGGAUAACGGAUGAAAGCCACUCAGAUCCACAUGGCCUGGUGGCUCGUACCCAGCUGAACCACCAUCUUU
rnacentral:SRP_RNA from 14 species